GUAGGUGGCAAGCGUUGUCCGGAAUUAUUGGGCGUAAAGCGCGCGCAGGCGGUUCUUUAAGUCUGAUGUGAAAGCCCACGGCUCAACCGUGGAGGGUCAUUGGAAACUGGAGAACUUGAGUACAGAAGAGGAAAGCGUAAUUCCACGUGUAGCGGUGAAAUGCGUAGAGAUGUGGAGGAACACCAGUGGCGAAGGCGGCUUUCUGGUCUGUAACUGACGCUGAGGCGCGAAAGCGUGGGGAGCAAACAGGAUUAGAUACCCUGGUAGUCCACGCCGUAAACGAUGAGUGCUAAGUGUUAGGGGGGUUUCCGCCCCCCUUAGUGCUGCAGCUAACGCAUUAAGUACUCCGCCUGGGGAGUACGGCCGCAAGGCUG
rnacentral:rRNA from 1 species